rnacentral:lncRNA from 1 species
CCCCGCAAGAUGGAGAGUAGAUAUCAAUUAUUCCCAUCUUGUUCAUGCGUGAAUAAAGACUUGAAGAAUUCAAUGCCUUAGUUAACAUGUCUGCCACUUGAGAACCAGUGUGAACAUACUCAGUAGUAAUGCUUCCACUUUGUAUCUUAUUUCGAACAAGAUGACAAUCAAUCUCUAUGUGCUUGGUUCUUUCAUGGAAAAUGAGAUUUGUGGCGAUAUAGAUGACAGACGUGUUAUAACAGUAUAACCUUGCUGCCUGGCUAUGUUCAAUCUGCAGAUCUUCAAAUAGAAAUUUCAUCCAUGUCAGUUCAUAACAGAGUUGUGCUAUUGCUCUGUAUUCGGCUCUAGAGGAUGAUAUUGAAACCACAUUUUUGCUUCUUUGACUUCCAUGAUACUAGUGAUGAUCCUAUCAACACAAAAUAACAUGUCACGGAUUUCCUACUAUCUGGACAUGCUCCUCAAUCUGAAUUCAAAUAACCUUUCAGCCGGAGAUCAAAUGUGGAAGAGUAAAAUAGGCCAUGACCUGGUGCCCUUAAAAUAUCUUAUCACUUUGUGUGCUGCAUAUAGAUGUGGUAUUCUAGGUUUGUCCAUGUAUUGACUCA